GACGAACGCUGGCGGCGUGCUUAACACAUGCAAGUCGAACGGAAAGGCCCUGCUUGCAGGGUACUCGAGUGGCGAACGGGUGAGUAACACUUGGGUGAUCUGCCCUGCACUUCGGGAUAAGCUUGGGAAACUGGGUCUAAUACCGGAUAGGACCGCACUUUAGUGUGUGUGGUGGAAAGUUUUUUCGGUGUAGGAUGAGCUCGCGGCCUAUCAGCUUGUUGGUGGGGUAAUGGGCUACCAAGGCGGCGACGGGUAGGCGGCCUGAGAGGGUGUACGGCCACAUUGGGACUGAGAUACGGCCCAGACUCCUACGGGAGGCAGCAGUGGGGAAUAUUGCACAAUGGGCGCAAGCCUGAUGCAGCGACGCCGCGUGGGGGAUGAAGGCCUUCGGGUUGUAAACUCCUUUCGCUAGGGACGAAGCUUUGUUGUGACGGUACCUAGAUAAGAAGCACCGGCUAACUACGUG
rnacentral:rRNA from 1 species